rnacentral:lncRNA from 1 species
GAAAGGCCACAGAGUGACAGGCCAGAAACCUGACUCAGUGUUUAUUCACCAAACACUGAGAGGGCCCUCCUGAAUCUCUUCCCCACCCAAAGCCUCCCUACUUCGGGGGCAGGAGAGGGGACGGCACUGCCAUCUCCCAUGCUCAGCAUACCUGGUAUACUUGCCCCAGGAGAUUAGCCACAAGGAAAAGCAUGCAGGCUGCCCCCGACACAAGAGAAAAUCUGGUAAAACACAAGAAAGAACCACCACUGAGCAGCAUCAGCCAAGAGAAGAAUCCCACAUCCUGUGGAUUCCGCUUCUCUUGGCUUCCUUUUCACAUCAGCAGGGACCUACUCUCUACUUAGCCAAUGUUCCCUGUUUCCAAAGCAAAAGCCCAGGAGUGCUGAGGGGCUCCACUAAGAAGAGGGACAAGAAGUUUGACACACAUACCAGACAGCCUAGCUUGAGAGACCCAGG